rnacentral:lncRNA from 1 species
CCCUUUUCCAUAGAUCUGAAAGGUAAACUGUUCCUUGCUCUUCUAGUUUGUUUAUAGUCUCAGUCUUUACAUCUAAAUCGUGUAUGCAUUUUGAUUUUAUCUUGGUGUGGCAAAUAUUUCCUUGAAAGAGAUCAGAGGGCUAGUACUAGAAGGAACUUGGGAGGACAUCUUGCUCAAACCUGCUGUCAUUUUGGAAGUGAAAGGAAUAAUAUGCAGAAAGAUUUAUUAUACAGCCACAUGGAGUGGAGACUCCAGGGCUCCUGGGGCUCCUAAUUCAGUGCUCUUGAUACUACACCAUACAUGCUACUACUAUAAACAUGAGUUUCUACUAUUGACAACUCAAGGAUAGGUUGCUGUUAUCCUUUGCUAAUAAAUGGGGUAAUUUUCAGAGUCUUAUUCACUGAAUUCUUCGUAUUUCUAGACAAUAGGAGUGAGAACAUUGAAACUUUGGAAGCAUCACCAGAGACAAGGUCUGCAUCAUGGAUUCCCAGGUGUUUUCGAACCCUCAGGAAAAAAUUCAAAAAGGGACCAAAAGAGAGAAAAGAUCAACAGAAGGAUCAAGGAAAUUUUCCAUCAACUCAAGGGGAAAUAUCACGCCGUACCAUGGAAAGAUUUCCAGAAACGUACCAUCACAGGAACCCAACCAUCUCAGACUGGACAGAGGAGGACGUGAGUAAUUGGCUCUGCUUCACUGGGAUGGAUUAUUAUUCCAGUCGUGUACACUUCGAUGGCUGGCUCCUGCUUACACAUACAAAGAGAGUCCUAAAGAGCUUUGACAACCAAAAUCGAAAGGAAAAAAAGAUUCUCCUUAAGAAGAUAAAAAAACUCCAACGGCUCGAGGCAGAACUGGAAAGAAGAAAUGCAAAAAGAGUCCUAAUGAGGACGGGCAUAAGAGAGAAGCCCAUCUAUUAGAACUAUUCUCAUUACAUCACAUGAAGCGGCACAAAGACCUGUUACAGUGGAGGGAAAGAAGAGAGGGAGAUGAGCAUUGUUUGAACCUUACUGUCAUCAAAUUUGACUCAAGAAGGGAAUAACAUAGGUUUAGAAAUCUAACUUGUCUAAUAUGCAGUAGGAGGGGAAAGAAAAGGGAGGGGGGAUGGAAGGGACGGAAGAAGUAGUAAAGGAAAAGGAAAGAAAAGGGAGGGAGCUGAUAGAAGGGGGGGCAGAUCGAGGGAGGCGGUGGUCAAAAGCAAAACUCUGGUGAAGAGGGAAAGGGAGAAACGAGAAAGAAAAGCAUAAAGGGGCAGGGAAUGGGAUGGAGAGAAAGACACUGAUAGUAAUCAUAACUGUGAAUGACAUGAACUCUCCAUAAAUGGAAGUGGAUAGCAGAAUACCAAAUUAGAAACACUGAAAACCAGAGGAGAGAUUAAUAAAGUUGAAAUUAAGAAAACUAUUGAACUAAUA